CCUACGGGUGGCAGCAGUGGGGAAUAUUGCGCAAUGGGGGCAACCCUGACGCAGCAACGCCGCGUGAUUGAAGAAGGCCUUCGGGUUGUAAAGAUCUUUAAUCGGGGACGAAUUUUGACGGUCCCCGAACAAUAAGCUCCGGCUAACUACGUGCCAGCAGCCGCGGUAAUACGUAGGGAGCAAGCGUUAUCCGGAUUUACUGGGUGUAAAGGGCGUGUAGGCGGGCAUGCAAGCCAGAAGUGAAAUCUGGGGGUCGAACACCCGGACUGCUGUUGAAACUGCGUGUCUUGAGUGCUGGAGAGGGAGGCGGAAUUCCUAGUGUAGCGGUGAAAUGCGUAGAUAUUGGGAGGAACACCAGUGGCGAAGGCGGCCUACUGGACAUUAACUGACGCUGAGGCGCGAAAGCGUGGGGAGCAAACAGGAUUAGAUACCCCUGUAGUC
rnacentral:rRNA from 1 species